CACCCGAUCCCCACCUGUAGCGCAAGGCCCAGGACAGGGGUCAGGGCCACGGGGCUGGGGACCAGGGCUGUCUCGGGGCUCGGGGUGGGCGGGUCCCCAGCAGGGAGCAGGGUGACGGGGAGGAAGAGAGGGAGGCAGCAGGGAUCCUGGGGGACACGUCCCACCUAGAGCUGUAAAUCAUGAGGGGUGGCCCGUGGGAUCCUGGCCUGGACUUGGCAGCCUGGUGUGUUCCCCGCCAUCCCACUAAAGCUGCCCCCAUCCCUCCACGAGCUUCGUCUCAGACAGAACCGCGAGCGCGGGGGGCCACGGAAGCAGAGCCGAUGACGUGAGGGCAGAGGAUUCAGGUUGCACUGAGAAGCACUCGCGUUAUUCUUCUCCCCAAACCCAGCGCGGCGCACACAGCAGACCACAGGCGGAAUUCAGCCCUCACAGCGCCUGGGGCCGCGGCAGAGCCUGAGUCGGCUUGUUUGUUGGCUUGAUACUAGACCCUGUUCAGCUCUUCGUUUCCUUUAGUGGUAUUACCUGGAGUCCAGCGCGGAUGAGGGCUGUGUGCCCCUGUUCCCCGCAGGCAGCUGCAUCUCUGCAGAUGGCGCUGUAUCACCACUGUUUCACGCAGAAGGCCGUGCCCACUGACUUCGAUUUUCCUCUUAUGCAACAAUUUACAGAAUCUGCUGAUGAUUUAGGGCUUGGGGAGCCUAACUUAAAAUUAAGUAAAUACGCAAACUAGAGUGUCACCGUCUUUCGAACAUGACUCUCCUCUGUGACCAGCUCCUUGGUUAAUGCCUGGAUGUUUAGUCAGUUUCCUGUCCGAUGGCGCCUCAGAGAGAAGGCCUCCCCAGUGUUUGCACGGAGCAGGUGGAGGAGGGGCUGCAGCUGAGGCUCUCUCCCAGGGUGGUCCUAAAGAGCUGGCGCCUGGAGGUGUCUGCAGGAGCAUGAGGACAGACAGCUGGCCCGGCUCUCCACGGUGUCACAUUGUGCUCAGCAAAGCCCUCGGCUGCGUGAAUGCCCCUGGUCAACUUGGUUCCCAGCGACCGUCGUAUGAAAGCCACACACACGGCCUUAAAGCUUUGAGGGUGUUAGUUCAGCUCUUUCUCACAGCCUCGGUCAGCAGCACGCCCCACUCGAGUCAGCGCGGAGAGAACAGACGACCAGACGUGCUGUGUGUCGGGAGGUUGGCAGGUUUGGCUUUUGAAGAACAGGAGGGAGGAGCCCACGAGCGCCUUGGGAAGAUGGAAUGUCCAGGUGAGGAGCUGGAGCAGGGGGCGCCUGGAGCGAGUCACAGGUGCCCAAAGGUCAGGCUGGAAUCCGGAAGCGCUGGCUGGGACGCCUCCAGGAAAAGCUGGUGA
rnacentral:lncRNA from 1 species